AGUUAGGGGCUGAUCACAGUCCCUUUACAACUAAUUGAUAACAACCUGCUACAGACUUCUUUGUUCCUUCUCCAGUUCCACUGCUUCAUUUGACUAGCUGAAA
ensembl:misc_RNA Y_RNA Y RNA